rnacentral:rRNA from 1 species
AGAGUUUGAUCCUGGCUCAGAUUGAACGCUGGCGGCAUGCUUUACACAUGCAAGUCGGACGGCAGCGGGGUAGUGCUUGCACUACUGCCGGCGAGUGGCGAACGGGUGAGUAAUAUAUUGGAACGUACCGAGUAAUGGGGGAUAACCAAUCGAAAGAUUGGCUAAUACCGCAUACGCUCUGAGGAGGAAAGCAGGGGACCUUCGGGCCUUGCGUUAUUCGAGCGGCCAAUAUCUGAUUAGCUAGUUGGUGGGGUAAAGGCCUACCAAGGCGACGAUCAGUAGCGGGUCUGAGAGGAUGAUCCGCCACACUGGGACUGAGACACGGCCCAGACUCCUACGGGAGGCAGCAGUGGGGAAUUUUGGACAAUGGGCGCAAGCCUGAUCCAGCCAUGCCGCGUGUCUGAAGAAGGCCUUCGGGUUGUAAAGGACUUUUGUUAGGGAAGAAAAAGGAGCGGUUAAUACCCGUUUCUGCUGACGGUACCUAAAGAAUAAGCACCGGCUAACUACGUG